AUUAUUUGAAUGUUUAAAUGUUUUAAAUGAUUAGUUCGUUAUAAAUGAAUAAUGAAAGUUUAAAAGUUAGAAAAAAAAGUACAAGAAUGAUAACUUAAACAACCUUGAGGGGUUAAACUUGUAAUUAUGUUACUAACUUAUUAAAAAAAAUAAAAACCCAGUAUAGUGGGUGUGUGUGGGUCGCGACCAAGAACAAGGGGAGAAAGGAAAACCCUUUUUCCUUCAUAAAAUUUCAAGAAUUCAGGGAAUUAAGGUGCUAUUGAUCCAGAAAAUCGAAUGCAUGAAGUAAAUUCCUUGCUAAUCUAAGUGUACUGAAGACAAGGAGUCAUGUCAAUAGAGGCACAAAUAUGGAAGCGCUACGGGUCGAAGGUAAACACGGAAGCUAUGUGUAAAUUCGGACGCACGAGGUAAGUAAACUCCCCGACUCCUUCCUUAGUAGUAAAAGAGGUUAUUUGUAUGAUAAAUGUUAGCAAUUAUGCAAGAUGCUUUAUUGACAUUUGUAACAAGUAAGGAGCACUAAGGAAGUGAUUUUUGAAUCACUUCCUACACCAUUUUAGGAAGGCUAUAUGCGAGUUACUUAAGUAUGGUAAUCUAAGUUUAUUUAGGAUUCGGUUAUUGGAGGUGAUGGUGUUCGCUAAGAAGACCGAACGGGUUAAAAUAAGAGUAUAUUAGUGUAGUUUUUAUGCAUUUUUGAGCGGCCAAAAUAGUGCAGAAUUUUCAUGUUAAUUGUUGUUAAGAUAUUGCAGUUUUUAUGCAUUUUUGAGCUGCCAAAAUAGUGCAGAAUUUUCAUGUUAAUUGUUGUUAAAAUAGUGCAGUUUUUAUGCAUUUUGAGCUGCCAAAAUAGUGCAGAAUUGUGCUGUAUAUUGUUGUUAAAAUAGUGCAGUUUUUAUGCGUUUUGAGCUGCCAAAAUAGUGCAGAAUUGUGCUGUAUAUUGUUGUUAAAAUAGUGCAGUUUUUAUGCGUUUUGAGCUGCCAAAAUAGUGCAGAAUUGUGCUGUUUAUUGUUGUUAAAAUAGUGCAGUUUUUAUGCGUUUUGAGCUGCCAAAAUAGUGCAGAAUUGUGCUGUUUAUUGUUGUUAAAAUAGUGCAGUUUUUAUGCGUUUUGAGCUGCCAAAAUAGUGCAGAAUUGUGCUAUUUAUUGUUGUUAAAAUAGUGCAGUUUUUAUGCAUUUUGAGCUGCCAAAAUAGUGCAGAAUUGUGCUGUUUAUUGUUGUUAAAAUAGUGCAGUUUUUAUGCAUUUUGAGAUGUCAAACUAGUGCAGAAUUGUGCUGUGUAUUGCUAUUAAAAUAGUGCAGUUUUUAUGCAUAUCGAGCUGUUAAAAUAGUGCAGAAUUGUGCUGUGUAUUGCUAUUAAAAUAGUGCAGUUUUUAUGCAUAUCGAGCUGUUAAAAUAGUGUAGAAUUGUGCAGUUUAUAAUGUAUGUACGUGGUCUAUUUGUAUGGAAGCUUGUAAUCAGCAUACCUUAGUAAACCUUGGGAUGAUUUAAGUGAUUUAUAAGGGUUGUACGUUUGUACGUGGGUACGUAAUCACGUGUGGAAGUUCAUGGCUAUGAAUACACGUGUGUUUGUGCCUGCGUCUCAAUUAGGAUUCAUUGCUUAUGAGCGAAUGGAACUUGGGUAUGUGUUCGUACAACUUAAAUAAGUGGAAGCGUUAAGUUACUAAACCGUUGUCUUGAGUAUGAAAUGUGAUUGCAGGUACUCUAUUAAUGUCUUUACCAAGGUUAAGGAAUUGAAGUGCACGAAUGUACAUGGAAAGCAUAUUCGUAAGGAUCAGUAUGGGAAGAAGGAACGCGGACGGGUUAUUGAUCAUGUGUGUUUAGUUUAGGAAUGAUGUCAUUAAAUCUAACCGAUGCACAUGUAUGUGGUGAAUGCAGGUUGCUUGGAUUUAGCAUCAUUAUGAAGGAUGGAAAGAUUGAAGAUCGAGUCAAGAGCAAAGGAUUGUACGGGAAGGAUCGGUCACAUAGUUUAACAAAUGUAGGUCCGAAGUAUUAAUAUAAUGGAACAUGGUAAAUCCUUUUUAAUGAGUGUAUGACAUUUGGUAUUCGAACUUUCCUGUAAGUACUAUGUCUAUUAAAGAACGAAAUUUUGGGUUCAUAUUUUCCGCUGUGUUGUAUUUUUAAGUUAUUGCAAGUUAGUCUUACAGGGAAUUGUUCAUAAUACGAACGGGUCAUGCCCGAUUUUUGUUAAAUUAUAGCAUGAUAAUAUUACGUUCGGAUUAGGAAUUUUGGUCGUUACAAGUUGGUAUCAGAGCCAUGGUUUGAGGGAAAUCAAGUAUGUGGAGGUAAAUACUUGAACUCAAACCAGAGUGCUCUUGUGACAAGGGACCCGUACAAUCCAAGACUCGAUCAAAAUUUAAAGGUAGAAGCUAAUGUAAGUGUGUAUUUAAGCAUGUAUAUUAAAAAAAAAACUAACACCAUGUUAUGUGAAGGGUAAGCAUAGUUGUUGGAGAGGAUGAUCCGCGAGUACAGUCUUGGACCGACACCAAGGCACGUAGUAAGAUAAAUUGAUUCCAGGUACGUAUAUUUAAUAUGUGUAAGUACAUGUAAUGGUAAAAUCUAGCAAGUGAAAGAAAAAUUUUAAGUAAAAUGUAAUAAUGGAAUGAUAAUGAAGUUUUGAAAAUGUUACACGUGCCGAAACCUAAUUCUUCGGACAUAAGGUGGCGAUUACACGAAGACACGAAACUAGUAUGCGGAUUGUGUACCUGGCCAGUACACAAGAAACAUAUGACGUUCGUGAGACCGUGAUAAUGGUUACAGGUAUGUCCGCUAGAACUAGGUAGUAGGUGGACGUGGGGGUGAAGAGGAAUGCAAGACUUUCAGAAAUGAAAGUAUGACUGAUAUGUUAGAAUCCGUGAGACGGAUUCGAAGCAUGAAUGAUGUGCUUGAAUCCGCGAGACGGAUUCGAAGCAUGAAAGGAAUGAAAGCAUGAAUGAUGUGCUUGAAUCCGCGAGACGGAUUCGAAGCAUGAAAGGAAUGAAAGCAUGAAUGAUGUGCUAGAAUCCGCGAGACGGAUUCAAAGCAUGAAAGGAAUGAAAGCAUGAAUGAUGUGUUAGAAUUCGCGAGACGGAUUCAAAGCAUGAAAGGAAUGAAAGCAUGAAUGAUGUGUUAGAAUUCGCGAGACGGAUUCGAAGCAUGAAAGGAAUGAAAGCAUGAAUGAUAUGUUAGAAUCCGCGAGAUGGAUUCAAAACAAAGAAAGAAUAAAAGUAGGAAUGAGAUGUUAUAAACCGCAAGACGGGUUCAAAACAUAAUGAAUGAUAAAAAAAAUGAAAAGAUUCGAAUGUGUAAGUAAUUACAGACUAAGCAAGUAAAUAUUAAAAAAAAAAAAAAGAAGAGGAUACUAUCUAAGUUAUGUCUUAAACUUAUAUAUAUACACAAAUAUGUUUGUAUGCAAGAAUGGUUAAAGGGACGGAUGAGUCAUGCGGGUCAAAUGGUAAUCGCCAUUUUAAUCGAUAUUUAAUGUUUUGGUUUGUUAAGUUUUAUACUUAUAGGUGAGCUUGAUGAAUGGGCACGCAAUGUCGCUAAUUGGAAAGAAAGGACCAUCGUAAGGAGUCAUGUCAAUAGAGGCACAAAUAUGGAAGCGCUACGGGUCGAAGGUAAACACGGAAGCUAUGUGUAAAUUCGGACGCACGAGGUAAGUAAACUCCCCGACUCCUUCCUUAGUAGUAAAAGAGGUUAUUUGUAUGAUAAAUGUUAGCAAUUAUGCAAGAUGCUUUAUUGACAUUUGUAACAAGUAAGGAGCACUAAGGAAGUGAUUUCUGAAUCACUUCCUACACCAUUUUAGGAAGGCUAUAUGCGAGUUACUUAAGUAUGGUAAUCUAAGUUUAUUUAGGAUUCGGUUAUUGGAGGUGAUGGUGUUCGCUAAGAAGACCGAACGGGUUAAAAUAAGAGUAUAUUAGUGUAGUUUUUAUGCAUUUUUGAGCGGCCAAAAUAGUGCAGAAUUUUCAUGUUAAUUGUUGUUAAGAUAUUGCAGUUUUUAUGCAUUUUUGAGCUGCCAAAAUAGUGCAGAAUUUUCAUGUUAAUUGUUGUUAAAAUAGUGCAGUUUUUAUGCAUUUUGAGCUGCCAAAAUAGUGCAGAAUUGUGCUGUAUAUUGUUGUUAAAAUAGUGCAGUUUUUAUGCGUUUUGAGCUGCCAAAAUAGUGCAGAAUUGUGCUGUAUAUUGUUGUUAAAAUAGUGCAGUUUUUAUGCGUUUUGAGCUGCCAAAAUAGUGCAGAAUUGUGCUGUUUAUUGUUGUUAAAAUAGUGCAGUUUUUAUGCGUUUUGAGCUGCCAAAAUAGUGCAGAAUUGUGCUGUUUAUUGUUGUUAAAAUAGUGCAGUUUUUAUGCGUUUUGAGCUGCCAAAAUAGUGCAGAAUUGUGCUAUUUAUUGUUGUUAAAAUAGUGCAGUUUUUAUGCAUUUUGAGCUGCCAAAAUAGUGCAGAAUUGUGCUGUUUAUUGUUGUUAAAAUAGUGCAGUUUUUAUGCAUUUUGAGAUGUCAAACUAGUGCAGAAUUGUGCUGUGUAUUGCUAUUAAAAUAGUGCAGUUUUUAUGCAUAUCGAGCUGUUAAAAUAGUGCAGAAUUGUGCUGUGUAUUGCUAUUAAAAUAGUGCAGUUUUUAUGCAUAUCGAGCUGUUAAAAUAGUGUAGAAUUGUGCAGUUUAUAAUGUAUGUACGUGGUCUAUUUGUAUGGAAGCUUGUAAUCAGCAUACCUUAGUAAACCUUGGGAUGAUUUAAGUGAUUUAUAAGGGUUGUACGUUUGUACGUGGGUACGUAAUCACGUGUGGAAGUUCAUGGCUAUGAAUACACGUGUGUUUGUGCCUGCGUCUCAAUUAGGAUUCAUUGCUUAUGAGCGAAUGGAACUUGGGUAUGUGUUCGUACAACUUAAAUAAGUGGAAGCGUUAAGUUACUAAACCGUUGUCUUGAGUAUGAAAUGUGAUUGCAGGUACUCUAUUAAUGUCUUUACCAAGGUUAAGGAAUUGAAGUGCACGAAUGUACAUGGAAAGCAUAUUCGUAAGGAUCAGUAUGGGAAGAAGGAACGCGGACGGGUUAUUGAUCAUGUGUGUUUAGUUUAGGAAUGAUGUCAUUAAAUCUAACCGAUGCACAUGUAUGUGGUGAAUGCAGGUUGCUUGGAUUUAGCAUCAUUAUGAAGGAUGGAAAGAUUGAAGAUCGAGUCAAGAGCAAAGGAUUGUACGGGAAGGAUCGGUCACAUAGUUUAACAAAUGUAGGUCCGAAGUAUUAAUAUAAUGGAACAUGGUAAAUCCUUUUUAAUGAGUGUAUGACAUUUGGUAUUCGAACUUUCCUGUAAGUACUAUGUCUAUUAAAGAACGAAAUUUUGGGUUCAUA